rnacentral:rRNA from 1 species
GAUGAACGCUGGCGGCGUGCCUAAUACAUGCAAGUCGAGCGAACGGACGAGAAGCUUGCUUUUCUGAUGUUAGCGGCGGACGGGUGAGUAACACGUGGAUAACCUACCUAUAAGACUGGGAUAACUUCGGGAAACCGGAGCUAAUACCGGAUAAUAUUUUGAACCGCAUGGUUCAAAAGUGAAAGACGGUCUUGCUGUCACUUAUAGAUGGAUCCGCGCUGCAUUAGCUAGUUGGUAAGGUAGCGGCUUACCAAGGCAACGAUGCAUAGCCGACCUGAGAGGGUGAUCGGCCACACUGGAACUGAGACACGGUCCAGACUCCUACGGGAGGCAGCAGUAGGGAAUCUUCCGCAAAGGGCGAAAGCCUGACGGAGCAACGCCGCGUGAGUGAUGAAGGUCUUCGGAUCGUAAAACUCUGUUAUUUGGGAAGAACAUAUGUGUAAGUAACUGUGCACAUCUUGACGGUACCUAAUCAGAAAGCCACGGCUAACUACGUG